AAAGGGAGACCUAAUUCAGGUAGGAGACGAAAAAAAAGUAGUCGCUACCAAGAAUCAAUCCCAAAAGGUCGGAGCGAGGCGAAAUUGGCUUUCAAACUAGGUUCUGGGUUCAAACAAGACCUGAAUCAGGAACAAGGGCUAUUAGCUCAGGUGGUUAGAGCGCACCCCUGAUAAGGGUGAGGUCCCUGGUUCGAGUCCAGGAUGGCCCACCUGCACAGGUGGCAAAAACAAGGAAGCGAGGAAUCAGCACCUUAUCUUAUAUACAUAUAUAAGAGAGAAUGCUGGCUCUGAGUACAGAGUCCAGAGGAACCUUGAAAACGGCAUAGAGCUAGGUGAAAAAGCCAAAAAAGAAGACCGCAAG
rnacentral:tRNA from 1 species